UACGUAGGGUGCGAGCGUUUGUCCGGAAUUACUGGGCGUAAAGAGCUCGUAGGUGGUUUGUCGCGUUGUCCGUGAAAACUCACAACUCAAUUGUGGGCGUGCGGGCGAUACUGUCGGACUAGAGUCCGGAAGAGGCGAGUGGAAUUCCCGGUGUAGCGGUGAAAUGCGCAGAUAUCGGGAGGAACACCAAUGGCGAAGGCAGCUCGCUGGACGUACUGGACGCUGAGGCGCGAAAGCGUGGG
rnacentral:rRNA from 1 species